rnacentral:rRNA from 1 species
UACGUAGGGCGCAAGCGUUUGUCCGGAAUUACUGGGCGUAAAGGGCGCGUAGGCGGCCUUCUAAGUCGAACGUGAAAUCCCCGGGCUCAACCCGGGAACUGCGUCCGAUACUGGAAGGCUUGAAUCCGGGAGAGGGAUGUGGAAUUCCAGGUGUAGCGGUGAAAUGCGUAGAUAUCUGGAGGAACACCGGUGGCGAAGGCGCCAUCCUGGACCGGUAUUGACGCGUGAGGCGCGAAAGCCAGGGGAGCAAACGGGG